rnacentral:tRNA from 1 species
GGAGGGAUGGCCGAGCGGUUUAAGGCGGCGGUCUUGAAAACCGUUGGGGGGCAACCCCCCGCAGGUUCGAAUCCUGCUCCCUCCGCCA